GACGUAGGGCGCGAGCGUUGUCCGGAUUUAUUGGGCGUAAAGAGCUCGUAGGCGGCUUGUCGCGUCGACUGUGAAAACCCGUGGCUCAACCAUGUGGUCUGCAGUCGAUACGGGCAGGCUAGAGUUCGGUAGGGGAGACUGGAAUUCCUGGUGUAGCGGUGAAAUGCGUAGAUAUCAAGAGGAACACCUGCGGCGAAGGCGGGUUGCUGGGCCGACACUGACGCUGAGGCGUGAAAGCCAGGGGAGCGAACGGG
rnacentral:rRNA from 1 species